rnacentral:rRNA from 1 species
CGAGUGAACGCUGGCGGCAGGCCUAAUACAUGCAAGUCGAACGGCAGCACAGCAGAGCUUGCUCUGUGGGUGGCGAGUGGCGGACGGGUGAGGAAUACAUGGGAAUCUGCCCAGUCGUGGGGGAUAACGUAGGGAAACUUACGCUAAUACCGCAUGCGCCCUUCGGGGGAAAGCCGGGGACCUUCGGGCCUGGCGCGAUUGGAUGAGCCCAUGCCGGAUUAGCUAGUUGGCGGGGUAAUGGCCCACCAAGGCGACGAUCCGUAGCUGGUCUGAGAGGAUGAUCAGCCACACUGGAACUGAGACACGGUCCAGACUCCUACGGGAGGCAGCAGUAGGGAAUAUUGGACAAUGGGCGCAAGCCUGAUCCAGCCAUGCCGCGUGAGUGAAGAAGGCCCUCGGGUUGUAAAGCUCUUUUGUCCGGAAAGAAAAGCGCCGGGUUAAUACCCUGGUGUCCUGACGGUACCGGAAGAAUAAGCACCGGCUAACUUCGUG